rnacentral:sRNA from 1 species
UGGUGGAUGAGUGGCCAGCGCUACCGC